CAUAUUGAACUCGUUAGUUUAAAGAUUUAGGAUGAUCUUAAAGCAGCCAGUGAGGGAAACAAAGAAGGCCCUCCGCGAAACAGAGGUGAAGCCUUAGCUGGUCCUGGCGAAAGACGGCUCAGGAGGAAAGGCGGGGAAGGAGGUGUCCUGGGACGACCUUUCUUCAGAGGAAGCCAAGAGGGUGGGGCUGCCCUUUAGCAUAUCAUCUGAUAUGUUUGUGACCAGGCCUGCGGACCAUGCUGCUGUUUGUAGGUCGGUUACUAGGCAGUGAUUCGAACAGCCUCAGCAGAGUCAAACCCAGGGGUGAGUUGAGGCCACCAGUUUCUGGAAAACACCUUCUGGCAGCUUCUCAAGGCUGGGCUAGGGCAGACAUUGGCUCAGAAGGUCAAAGAGGAGGGCGGAGGGGCUCUCUGCAGGAGACUGGAGCCUUUGGCAGCAACAUGCUUGCCUAAAUAGAAAUGGCCCCUGGCGCCCACCAGCGUCAGAAGGUUCUAGAGUUGGAAGAGAUGGUGUGCUUAGGCAUCUGAUAGGAAGUGGCUACCCUGGGCAGUCACUCCCGCCAGGCCAGGAUGGAAGGACAGGCUAAUCGUCCUUCUGUUGUGAAAGAAAAUAUUUGCCUCACCCCAUCACCGGAAUGUUAAUUGAUAUAAUCAAUAGAAAUUGGAACAUUACUAUGUUAAACACAAACUGUCUCUUUUUGCCCCAGGUGCUGUGCUAUACCACC